AGAACUGACAAUAACCAAGAGACAAUUGGAAUACUACACUUUAUACGUGCACGUUACCUAAGAAUAGGGCCCAUUCACUCAUCUCCAUGAGAAACACAACUACAUAUUUAUCCAAUUCACUGAAUAAAUGUAAAAAAAAAAAUGGAGGAAUUGCAUACUGCAAAAGGUUAUAGCUUUAGAAUGAGUUGUUACCUCCUGUUUGAUGAUGUUUUUCUCUCCUUUCUCUUCAACGAAAGAGUGUAAAAGUGAGUAUUACAGCGCAGGACAUGUAAUAUUUAUAGGGUAUUCAGUUUGGAAUUCGAAAUUUGAAAUUUUAAACCACCAUGUAUUAGUGGGCGGGAAUUGUGACUAAAUUUUGUGUCAUUGAUUCUAUCAUCUGAGUAAAAUUGGCAAUUCUAUUAUUUUUU